rnacentral:lncRNA from 1 species
AAAGCAGGUCAACAAGAAGAACCACUGCACUCCAACACCUUCCCAGAACCAGACUCCUGCCGUCAGUGAAACAGGUAUCUUCACGCACGACUGGACAGGCCUUUUGGAUACGCUUGUCCAAGUGAGCAAGACCUGCCAGCAGAGCUCACUGGAGCAGGGAGACAUGCCGUCAUCCUUUUGGCGCCUGACAAAGCUUGAGAUUCAGAUCCUGCUGAACGAUGUUAAGCAUUCGAUUAACCACAUGCAGGGGACGCUGAACACCAUGCAGGGGCAGUGUAUUGAGUUGCAGACUGCCAUGUCUAAGGUAGUGUCAGAUGAGUCUCAGAUACAGAAGAAUAAGUCUAUGAUGGUAUGGUGAUAAUGAUUGAGAUGGUGAUUAUAAUAAUGAUGACUAGCGGUACCCCACCCUAAGGGCAGUAAAUCAUUGGAUCUGAUUAAUUAAAUUCAAUGCAAUUCAAUCUUUGAGGACUGCAACCAUAGAAAUACAAUGACUUUACACUAAUAAUAAGCUAUUGUCAACUUGCCGUCAAUGCUUAUCUUGCUCAUUGCUCACUGUCAAUUGCUGACUGUUACCCUAUGAGUGCAACUAUUAUUGAUUUCUCACAGAAAAAUUAUUUGGUUGCAAAUGUACCUGGGGCCAUGUAAAUAAUUGUUAGGCUACUCAUUUUGAAUCCACCGGUGGCAACUUGUGUGACCAUAAAAGUCUGUGCGACUUGGCACAGUAAAAUAAUUUGGUUACUGCCUGCCCUACAUCAUAGAAGGCACUUCAAGUCGAACUAGGACAUUUUGACAUUUCUGACUCACUAACUCGUCAUGGAAUGACUAACUCGUCAUGGAAAGUUUCCCACUUGUGAAGUAUUAGAAUCAACCAGUAGGAAGCUCUACGCUAAUAACUUACAUUCAUUUUAACUCUGAGGUUCCAAGUUUCCGAUGGCAUGUGAAUGAGUCAAUAAUUGCUAUGGUCAUUUUGAAUGUUCAGUCAGUGAGCAUUAUGUGUAAUUGUCCUACAUACUUACAUCAAAUACUUUAUGAUAGCAUCAUCUCCUGUAGUAACAGUGCCAUUCCAAACACAAUAAAUGUAAAAAUGAACAAAGAUACAAAAUAUUGCUAAAGUGAAGAAAAUCAGCUCAAAAUUGUAGGAGGAAAUGCCCCUGCAGCAGGGAGGCUUACGGUAUUAUAAUAUAUUGUAGAUAACAUUAAUAUAAUUUGUGUAUUUACAAUAUCAGUACACAUACAAAUGAAAGUAUAUGCUAGGGAAUGAUCUACACUGAGUGAACAAAACAUUAAGAACACCUUCCUAUUGAUGCCCCACCCUUGGUGGUGGACCAUUGUUGAUACUCAGGGAAAACUAUUGAGCUGAAAAACCCAACAGCUUCUGGCACCUACUACCAUACUCUGUUCAAAGGGACUUAAAUGUUUGGUCUUGCCCAUUCACCCUCUGAAUGACACACAUACACAAUCCAUGUCUCAAUUGUCUAAAAGUCCAUCUUUAACCUGUCUCCUCCCCUUCAUCUACACUGAGAAGAAGAUUUAACAAUUAACAUCAAUAAGGGAUUAUAGCUUUCACCUGAUUAGUCUGUGUCACAGAAAGAGAAGGUGUUCUUAAUAAUGUUUAAUACACUCAGUGUACUAUGUGUCAAUGAUGCUAUAGAUUCCA